UACCUGGUCUUGACAUAGUAAGAACUUUCCAGAGAUGGAUUGGUGCCUUCGGGAACUUACAUACAGGUGCUGCAUGGCUGUCGUCAGCUCGUGUCGUGAGAUGUUGGGUUAAGUCCCGCAACGAGCGCAACCCUUUUCCUUAUUUGCCAGCACUUUGGGUGGGAACUUUAAGGAUACUGCCAGUGACAAACUGGAGGAAGGCGGGGACGACGUCAAGUCAUCAUGGCCCUUACGACCAGGGCUACACACGUGCUACAAUGGUCGGUACAAAGGGUUGCUACCUAGCGAUAGGAUGCUAAUCUCAAAAAG
rnacentral:rRNA from 1 species